ensembl:lncRNA
AUGUUCCCAGCUAUCGGGCCAGUCCCCUCCACCUCUACCCGCUGCCAUCCCCAACCAGGGGUCUCAGGCGUGCCUCAUACCAGUCACCAAGAGCAAGAAGGAUUUCCCACAGCUCAGCCUGGCUCUCACCUGACGCUAGAGCAAGCCUGUCCUAGGGUCAAGAGGAGAGCAGGCUCUAAGGGCUGCGGGAGGGAGACAAGACGCGGCACCUCCGCUCGAAGGUCUGCUCCCAGGAUGUUCAGGCCGAGGCUUUUCAUCACCCAGCUCAGAGCACCCAGAAUUUAUCCUGGAAGAACUUCCGCCUACUGCUGAGAGCUAAUUUCUGACAGUGCUCAGACUGGGAACCAGGGUGCUCUACCUGCCGUGGCAAGAAGGCUGGAAAGGAGAACAAAGAGGGUCUUGGAACGGGGAGCGAUUUCAUCCCGUGCCUUCCACUCGGUUGAGGCUCAAGCCCACAAGGGCUGGUGGGUUUUCUGUCCAAAUAUGCCCAACUCCUUGUUAUUUCUGGGAGAGGUGGAAGAGGGAAGAGGUUCAAGGCAUUCUCCAAGGGGGGGGGGGACAGGAUAUUUCUUCCUGCCCACUUCUGUGUUUUGUCAUGUUGUGUGGGUGGCCAGAGCUAGCAGAAGCAUCAUGUUUUAGCUUAGGGGCUGACUAGACACCGUUUCCUCCUACUCAGGACCCUGGAACUGCCACAUUCAGACCACAGCCCUAGGGGGAACGUCACUCUUACACGAAGGCUGAGAACUCCCUGAAAUUUUAAUGUACAAAUGUGUGUGUAACACAGGUGCUCACACAUAUGUCAAGCUAGUAGGUUGGUUUUGCUGUAAAAAGGGUCCACAGUUCUCUUUAGAUUCUCUUAGGGGUCCAUUGUAAUCAUGGGCUCAUUUAAUGAAAACUGAUUUCCCAAACAGAGUUAUUGUAUAACUGGGCAACACUAUAAAAUAUGAGAAAGUAUCAUCUCCAGCUCUGUUUAGAUGGAGGAGUGAGACUGAGUUUGCAGAGAAACCCAAGGAGGGUAACACAUCCGAUUUCAUUUCUAGUUUUCUCCUGGCCCCUCCAACACACUUUAUCUAAGGUUGUCAGGUUUAGCAAAUAAAAAUACAAGAUGCCCAGCUAAAUUUGAGUUUCAGAUAAACAGCACAUACUUGUUGAGUAUAAGUAUGUCCCAUGCAAUAUUUGAGACAUAUUUAUACCAAACAAUUGUGUCUUGUUUAUCUGAAAUUCAGAUUUAGCUGGUGUUCUGUAUUUAUCUGGCAACAGUCUGUGGCAUUAGUCAUUGUCACCCGUUCCCAUAGGCCCCUCUUCAUCUAGGAAAGGAGGGCGCUCUCAGAUGCAUCACCCCUUGCAAUUCCGUGCCCGGGGCUUCCAGGUACUAUUGUUCAGGGCCAAAACAUUUUGUAAUUUCCCUCUUGGCCAGGGGGAGAUGCAAUCCCAGACCUAGUCAGCAGGGGGCACCAUUUUCUUAAAAUAGAUCCCCAGUGGCAUUUCAAGGGCCUCAGAAAGGGGAAUAUUGAGUUGAAGUUUCUAUUUGCUGCUUCCGUCUUCCCUCUGUAGCUUCCCAUUUCUCCCCACCCCACCACCCUGCCAGAGUCAUCCGUGUGAAACAAGACUCUGAUCCUGUCACUUCACUCCUUAAAUCACUUCCAAGAUUCCGUGGUUACCUUCCUAAUACACUCUAAAAAGCCCUUCCGGGCCCCACGGGAGUCUUUUCCCGGCUUCAACUCCUGCUGUUUCCACCGUACCUCAUCCCACCCUCCUCACACUUCCGGAACCCCACCCCCACCCCCAUUCGCCACCAACUAUUUGCCCCUUCCCACUCUACUAUUCACUGUCACGCCUUUGCACCCACAGUUCCCUCUGCUUGGAAUUCCCUUUUCCACCUGACGCUUCUAGCGGCUCCAUUCAUUCAACACAUUUCACAAGUGUGCAUUGAGAUCAGCCCUGUACCAGGCACUCUGCUGUGGGCUGGAGAUACUGGGAGGAGGGAACCGACUGGAGCCUUUCCCUUAUGCAUCUGACGAUGGGGGCAGGGGAGAAACAGUAUACAAGUCGUCAGAUCAACAAAGUCCUUGGACUUAGUUCAAGGGAUAACUGAUCUGACUCCCUUGAGCAGAGCUGAUGGUUCCCUCCUUUGGGUCUUCUGAUGGCUUUUCAUUCUAAGGGUCCCAAAUUCUAACACGUGCAC